rnacentral:lncRNA from 1 species
CAUGAUGUCUUAUCUUUGGAGUUUGGUUAAUGAAUUCAUGAGCAGUGUUGCUUCAUAUUAUAUGCUUAACGCUUAAUGGGCAAGCUGUAGUUCUGACGCACCCACAUGAUUGGUGUGAACCUUGUAUUCUGAGGUGAAAGCAGAAUGUUGCCAGAUGAAUUUGAUUUGCUUUUCUUUUCCUUUUUCUUCAUUUUAUAAUUGAAACUAGAGAAUAGUGGGGCCUUUGCUCAUUCGUGGAUUCCACAUGACAUAAACUUCUCUGUUGCUUCUAUUGCAGGAGAGGUGGUGUAAUUGCAAGAAGCGCUCAGGAAUUGGAUCUAGUCCUUCAACAGUGCUGAUGGACCAUACCAUCUGCAUCCCUUUUCUGCUUACCUGCAGAGUCAAGUUGGAUGACAUCUAACAGAAUACUCGUGUAUAUGGACACCAUCUGUCCUUAACUCGGAGUUUGGCUUUACGGCUACUGAUUUUGCCGCUUCCAUCGAUCAGUUUUGCUUGGUUUCUCAUGAGGCAAAUGCCCGAGCACUACGCGCAUGGAAAAUUAAGCUCGAAGACUCAAGAGGCCUUGUUCGGGGCAUGACUCCAUGAUAUUCCGAAAGAGUAGGAUCUCUCAAUUCUUUGAUUCUGUUGUAUGGUGUAUCUUAUUGUAUCUUCUAUCUGCCCCCCAUGUAAUUCUUCAUGUGUACUUCUCGCUCCCGUGUAAUUCAUGUGUACUUCUCGAUGGUAUAGUGAAAAUCCACUUUGUUCAUCAUAACCGAAAGAGCUUGUCUACUGUGCAUCUAAGUUGUUAGAAUUUCACUGUAAAAUGAGGAUGCAAUUGUAUCUUGUCAUGAGGAAGCCUCCAUUAAUGAUCAGAUUGUCUUAGCUUACCGAGUCACAUUAUAGGAAUCACUCUGAUCCUUGACACAUCGGGUCCAUUGCCAAAGGAUUCAUGCAGAAUUGAGUUGAAAGAAGGUGGUGAGCCACAAGGCUUUGAGUGGGAAUGAGCCUAAUUAGUGUGGUGCAUCUGAGAAUGAGCAUAGCAGAGAUACGUGGUUAGGAUGAUGCUGCAGAUUCACUUUGCCUCCUUGAGUGUAACUUUUGGAAAUUUAUGGUGUCGAUUAGAG